UACGUAGGGAGCAAGCGUUGUCCGGAAUCAUUGGGCGUAAAGCGCGCGUAGGUGGCCCGGUAAGUCCGCUCUGAAAGUCACAGGCUCAACCUGUGAAAGCGGGUGGAUACUGCCGGGCUAGAUUCCGGAAGAGGCGAGUGGAAUUCCUGGUGUAGCGGUGGAAUGCGCAGAUAUCAGGAGGAACACCAACGGCGAAGGCAGCUCUCUGGGACGGUACUGACACUGAGGCGCGAAAGCGUGGGGAGCGAACAGG
rnacentral:rRNA from 1 species